AGUUAACCACCAGAAACCAUCACGGGGCAGAUAACAAUGAUUAAGUGUCUCAAUUCUAGAACACGGAUACUUUGUAGUAUAUAAACACAGUAUCUGACAGUAAAACAAGGAAACUAAGUACCACACAGCUGAGUUACAUUAAUCCUAACGCCUCACAAAUGCAUUUGACCUUGGUGUGUUCUGAUGGAGGGGUGUGUGUUGACAGGUACAGGUGUGUUCUGAUGGAGGGGUGUGUGUUGACAGGUACAGGUGUGUUCUGAUGGAGGGGUGUGUGUUGACAGGUACAGGUGUGUUCUGAUGGAGGGGUGUGUGUUGACAGGUACAGGUGUGUUCUGAUGGAGGGGUGUGUGUUGACAGGUACAGGUGUGUUCUGAUGGAGGGGUGUGUGUUGACAGGUACAGGUGUGUUCUGAUGGAGGGGCGUGUGUUGACAGGUACAGGUGUGUUCUGAUGGAGGGGCGUGUGUUGACAGGUACAGGUGUGUUCUGAUGGAGGGGUGUGUGUUGACAGGUACAGGUGUGUUCUGAUGGAGGGGCGUGUGUUGACAGGUACAGGUGUGUUCUGAUGGAGGGGUGUGUGUUGACAGGUACAGGUGUGUUCUGAUGGAGGGGCGUGUGUUGACAGGUACAGGUAUGUUCUGAUGGAGGGGCGUGUGUUGACAGGUACAGGUGUGUUCUGAUGGAGGGGUGUGUGUUGACAGGUACAGGUGUGUUCUGAUGGAGGGGUGUGUGUUGACAGGUACAGGUGUGUUCUGAUGGAGGGGUGUGUGUUGACAGGUACAGGUGUGUUCUGAUGGAGGGGUGUGUGUUGACAGGUACAGGUGUGUUCUGAUGGAGGGGUGUGUGUUGACAGGUACAGGUGUGUUCUGAUGGAGGGGUGUGUGUUGACAGGUACAGGUGUGUUCUGAUGGAGGGGUGUGUGUUGACAGGUACAGGUGUGUUCUGAUGGAGGGGUGUGUGUUGACAGGUACAGGUGUGUUCUGAUGGAGGGGUGUGUGUUGACAGGUACAGGUGUGUUCUGAUGGAGGGGUGUGUGUUGACAGGUACAGGUGUGUUCUGAUGGAGGGGUGUGUGUUGACAGGUACAGGUGUGUUCUGAUGGAGGGGCGUGUGUUGACAGGUACAGGUGUGUUCUG